rnacentral:lncRNA from 1 species
AGUAACCAAGAAGUAAACAACGCUGCCCAGCGCAGCUGUUAGCAGCUAUCGUAAUGAAAAUCCUACUUUCUGAAGGCAAACUUUAGAUUUCUGCAGCGAGAACAACUCGAGCAGCGUGGGCAACAUUCAAGAAGAUCCAAACGAGUGGAUAUCGCCCACAGACCUGUUAUAAUCCCUGGAUAGCGAGUACAAUGAACUGGAAACUUCCCACAAAGAUAUCGACAGAUCUUUGCCAGGCAAAGACUCCUAAAAACGGCAGCCAGGUGGCUGUCCUACUCGACAACUACAUGAUGAAAAGAUUACGUUGCGGUGGAGGCCUGGUGCUGUAAAGCACAGACUUGCUUCAUUUAAAGACUCAACAUGAAAGAGUGAGUGGGAGAACCUGCCAUCUGUGGCUACAUACAAGAUCUUAUGUGAUUGUCUAGAGGAUUUUGGACGACAGAAGAAUGAUUCUGAUGAGCACUCUUCUAAGAUCAUCAAUAAAACUGCAGUCGUCAGAGGCCUCAGAUUACAGGUUAAUGUAUUUUUCUGUUUAUCACC